rnacentral:rRNA from 1 species
AUGAACGCUGGCGGCGUGCCUAAUACAUGCAAGUCGAGCGCACAGACGAGGAGCUUGCUCCUCUGACGUUAGCGGCGGACGGGUGAGUAACACGUGGAUAACCUACCUAUAAGACUGGGAUAACUUCGGGAAACCGGAGCUAAUACCGGAUAAUAUAUUGAACCGCAUGGUUCAAUAGUGAAAGACGGUUUUGCUGUCACUUAUAGAUGGAUCCGCGCCGCAUUAGCUAGUUGGUAAGGUAACGGCUUACCAAGGCAACGAUGCGUAGCCGACCUGAGAGGGGGAUCGGCCACACGGGAACUGAGACACGGUCCAGACUCCUACGGGAGGCAGCAGUAGGGAAUCUUCCGCAAUGGGCGAAAGCUUGACGGAGCAACGCCGCGUGAGUGAUGAAGGUCUUCGGAUCGUAAAACUCUGUUAUUAGGGAAGAACAAAUGUGUAAGUAACUAUGCACGUCUUGACGGUACCUAAUCAGAAAGCCACGGCUAACUACGUG